AGUGAACGCUGGCGGUAGGCCUAACACAUGCAAGUCGAACGGCAGCACAGUAAGAGCUUGCUCUUACGGGUGGCGAGUGGCGGACGGGUGAGGAAUACAUCGGAAUCUACUUUUUCGUGGGGGAUAACGUAGGGAAACUUACGCUAAUACCGCAUACGACCUACGGGUGAAAGCAGGGGAUCUUCGGACCUUGCGCGAUUGAAUGAGCCGAUGUCGGAUUAGCUAGUUGGCGGGGUAAAGGCCCACCAAGGCGACGAUCCGUAGCUGGUCUGAGAGGAUGAUCAGCCACACUGGAACUGAGACACGGUCCAGACCCCUACGGGAGGCAGCAGUGGGGAAUAUUGGACAAUGGGCGCAAGCCUGAUCCAGCCAUACCGCGUGAGUGAAGAAGGCCUUCGGGUUGUAAAGCCCUUUUGUUGGGAAAGAAAAGCAGCAGGUUAAUACCCCGCUGUUCUGACGGUACCCAAAGAAUAAGCACCGGCUAACUUCGUG
rnacentral:rRNA from 1 species